UACAGAGGUCUCGAGCGUUGUUCGGAUUCAUUGGGCGUAAAGGGUGCGCAGGCGGUGUGGCAAGUCUGGUGUGAAAGCUUGGGGCUCAACCCCAAAAUUGCAUUGGAUACUGCCAUGCUUAGGACUGUAGAGGAGAGUGGAAUUCACGGUGUAGCAGUGAAAUGCGUAGAUAUCGUGAGGAAGACCAGUUGCGAAAGCGACUCUCUGGGCAGUUCCUGACGAUCAUGCACGAAGGCCAGGGGAGCAAACGGG
rnacentral:rRNA from 1 species